UUCGGCAACGCACCAGCUGUCAUGGCGCCUCACUUGCUGUGUUGUGUGCCCAAAUGUUCGUCCUCAAAGAGAAAAAAAAUCCUACCGUGGACAGACUUUCCACCGUUUCCCCAAAGAGCAGGCACUUCGCAGUGGAUGUAUAAAUCACAUCUAGAGGGGUCCUGGUCCAUAUUUCAAGAUCAACGCUGAGACCAAGGUUUGCUCUGAGCACUUUGAGAAGCAGUGUUUUGUAAAGACCACCCGUGUUAUCACAAAGCUUAUAAAGGAUGCUGUGCCAACUUUCGCCUGGACUUCAGAGAGGCCAAAGAGGAGAAUCAUCAUUCGCAGACCGAGAGAUGAUGACCCAUUCCUGAAGUUGGACGCCAGAAUGCAGGAAGGUGCUGUUUAAGAGCCUAGGCGGUGGAAGAAGCACUUGCAGGUAUGCUACCGACCAGGCUCCUCAACAUCAAUCCGAGACGGAAGAUGAAACGGGAUGAAGCAGUUAGAUUGAGGAUAACGUACCUCAACAGUCUUCUUCAGAUUCUCUACAAACACAGUCUGAGUGGUGAUUAGAACAUGCCUGGCAUCCAAGGGUGUGGCCAGUUUGUUAACCCUUUACACUCUACACUUUACAAUUAGAAUUAUUGUACACUGUCUGGACAAGAUGUAGAAUACUACUGAGCGACAGUGAUAUGUCAUGUUCUUAAUACUGUUAUAUCCUGUCAUUACAGACAAGGCGGCCGGAAACGUUGAUGACCUCAAUGACACUGGCUAGGUGAAGGACAUCAACAAAAUGGCAUCAGGUCACCAGACAUCAGCUCAUAAUCCACAACAUCAUCAACCAUUUUGCGCCAAAAAUGAAGCCGUUCACAUACCAUGGCAUCCUAAGCAGGCAGCACUACACUACUGUGCAACAGUGAGAGAGCGGGCAAGGACAAGUAAAGCGGACCUACACUACAGCAAGACUUUGACACUUCUCCACGUUAGAGGCAACCAUCACCCCCACCGUUGAGCAGCGGCUAUGUGUAACCCCCAAAAGAGGAGAUGAUCCGACGAUGUGUGUGUGGUGUGUGCGUGUGUGUGUGUGAUGUAUGAUAUUGUAACACUUCAGUCCUUCUUUUAUACUAUACAGUGUAUACAUAUACAUUUGUGGGUUUGUUUAAAAACCAUAGCUGAGGUUAAGAAAUGCAUUAUGACAAAUACAUCUGAUUCAGGUGUACUGUCUUUUAUUUGCCACAAAUAAAUCACAUCCUGGAAACCUG